GUCCGCCCCAUCCAGCAUCUCUCAGACACCACCUCGCGUCCGCCUUCUUUCUCUCUCUCACCCUCCUCUCCCAGAUCCAGAUCGCACGACGGCGGCACGGCGGCUGCAGGGCGAGGCGGCACGGUGGCUGCAGGGCGAGGGUGGCACGACGGCGGCAUGUUCCAUCGGCAUCGAGCUCCAAGGCUGCCCUCUUCCACCGGUGUAGCUGUCUCCCGUGCGUGUUCGUCAAGGGCCGCUGCGAGCUCGCCUGCUGGUGCGGCCCUUCCCCGAGCACGUGAUCGCGAGCCUCUCCCUUGCGCUCGUCGACCUAGCCUUCCUCACGCCACGAGGGAAGAGGAAGCCCCUCUUCCCCUGCCUGCCAUUGCACGAGUACAGAGGAAUGGAGGAAGAGAAUGAGUGCAUCCAGGCCUGGAGAGAGUUCUGAAAAGCUCAUGUUUUCUCUUGCACAGUGUGAGUUUUACAUGGGGAGAAGGUGGUUUUAGAAUUUUUCCUUUGCAAAGUAACCUUGUUAUGAUUUGAAAUGAGCAUUCUAGCUGAACAUCAGUUCUAUUUUGCCUAAUUUUUUUAACUUGUUAUUUCAUUAGCCAAUGCUAGAUUGUUGACUACGAGGAUUUCUGAACCCCCUGGAUUCUCGCCAAGCUUCGAUUUUGAGCACACUGACUGUUUUGGUAUCAUCUACAGGCCUGCCAUAUUAUGUCAGCAAGGGAUGUUGCUACUUAACCAGGUCUUCCAACAGAAACUUACGUUGGGAUCCAAGGAUAGUGAAUCACCUGGAUGCAUUGCUUAGACCAGUGCUUAAGUUCACCAUCAGAGCAAUCCUUGAGGUGGCAAGCAGUGAAGGAAGUCCCAAGUUAUGCAGUUUUUUUUCUUCUUCCUUUUCAGCUACAUUUUUUAGGACGGUUGUAACACCUAUAGAAUGUAUGUAAUGUAUAAAACAUGUGUAUCUCUUAUGUAUUUAAGGUUUAUUUUAAAUCCGCUUUUUUCUUUUCUUUUUGUUUUUCUAAUUUAUCAUUGGAGACAUAAGGUUGCUUGGUUUGAGACUACAAGGAUGUACAUGGUUGCAUGCAUCAUGUAUAGAUGAUCCUAGGUGGCGUGGUUUUACCAAUUUUUUUAAAUUA